rnacentral:tRNA from 1 species
GUCUCCGUAGCUCAGUGGAAGAGCACAAGGCUGCGAACCUUGGUUUGCGUAGGUUCGAUUCCUAUCGGAGAUACCA